AAUUUAAAAUCUACCUGGUUUYCAGGUCGAGUUGUAAUUUGAAGAUACGUUUUUGACGUUCCGGGUUGAACUAAAUCCUUUGGGAUAAGGUAUCAUGGAGGGUGAGAAUCCCGUAUAUACCAACCRUAGGGAUGUUAUUUAAUACGUUUCUAAGAGUCGAGUUGUUUGGGAAUGCAGCUCUAAAUGGGUGGUAAAUUUCACCUAAUGCUAAAUAUAAGCGAGAGACCGAUAGYGAACAAGUACAGUGAUGGAAAGAUGAAAAGAACUUUGAAAAGAGAGUUAAAUAGUAYGUGAAAUUGUUGAAAGGGAAACGAUUGAAGUCAGUCAUGCCRGUGGGAAUCAACUUAGAGGAAACUCUGAGUGCACUUYUUCGCUUGGCAGGUCAACGUYGAUUUUGGAUGUCAUAAAAUGAUUGGGGGAAGGUAGCUCCUUCGGGAGUGUUAUAGCCCUUGGUAGAUGUGAUGUCUGGGAUCGAGGAUUGCAAUGGAUACCCUUUGGGGCUAGCCGCCUGAUCUCUAAU
rnacentral:rRNA from 1 species